GUAUGUAGGCCAGCGUCCCUUCUCCCGAGGCGGCUCCCGGCGCCAGGACUACAGUUCCCAGAAUGCAGGGCGCGACAACUCUUCGCGCGCGCCUGAGAGGCGGGACCUCACGGAGGGAGAGGCGCGUGCGAGCGGAGGGAGGGGAAGCGCGGGGGUGGGCGGGGCGCUGCCACCUGCUCUCUCCCCCCUUAAACGUGCGGCGUCUCGGGCUGCGCUGGAAACAGGGAAACGUGACGGCGGGUUCUGCCCGCGAAAGUUCUCUGUCGUUGCUUUUACUUUCCCGCCUCUGGCCCAGGGCUCACUUUCCCCACGGCUCCGGAGCGUCACGGUGACUCCCCGAUCUUACAAGUGGAGACGCGCGAACUUCCGGGGCUGGGGGUGGAGGCAGCGCCCGACCCGUGCCUAGUCCCUCGCUGCUCGGUAGCCCCGGUACUGAGUCGAGGCCCUCCUUUGAGCGUGAGGGGGAAGACGCCUCGGCCCGCGGGGACGGGAGCUGGGGUGGCAGACGUGACGCGCGGGACGAGCUGCCGAUGCCCGGGGAGCGUGGCGCGCCUUUCCCGGGCGCGGGACGCCGGUCGCGACGGGCGCCUGAGUUGCCGUGGCUCCUGGCUGCGCAGCGCUCGAGCCUGGGAGCCUCCAAAAGGCGCGGCGUGUAGAAACGCUCUCUACAAUCAGUCCGGUUGUCCACUCGUGUCCGGCAAGCCAGCGGUCAGGUGUUAGCGAAAUGUGCUCGGGAAACAACGUUUUCGAACGUCAGUGUGCAGUAGUGUGCUGGGGUGCAGUGAGGGGACGAGAUCCGCGGGCGAAUUCAUUGUCAUCAGCAUUGAUGUUAGUUGAGAAAAUUAACGUCCAUGGAGGUGCUAUAAAUAACCUGAAUCUCAACAACAACUUGUUGGGUAGGUAGUUUCCCCUUUUCACAGGGGAUGAAACCAUUGUGGAGGUGAAAUGACUUUCCAAGCUCACACCUCUGCAAGUGCUAGUGCCAGGCGCUGACCGUCUUCAGACUGCGAUGGGAGGCUGUCGACUUCAACCCUCUCAUCCACGCUCCGCCUGCUGAUAGAAGUCAGUCGAUUAGUAAUUAAUUUCCAACAGUUAAUAAGAUUUAGAUGUUGUUGCAUGUCAGGCAGGGUGUAUAACAGGGCUGAAUGUGAUCUUGUCAAUUUCUGAGACGAUUUUAAAUCAGUACCUUCACAGGGAAAUAAAAGAGUCGUAUGACAGGCGUGUGGCAGCAGGCUGGGUGCUUUUCUUGUUUCUGAAUCCAGCUCCCACUCAGAGUCACCUAUUCCUCUGUUGCCUCAGCCCCUGCCACGCACACUGGCAUCUCACACACACCCCACCCCUUCCACAAGCUCUGGCUCUUGUGGCUCCUGCCCAGACGAGAGACAGGGAGUGUUGCCCAUGCUGCUCGUGCCUGUUUGAAAAUAGCUCCCGUGCUUUUGGAACAUGUCCAUGCUUUAGCAAACCUGUCUCUUUACCAAGGGCUGCUGACAUCUGCACCUUCGAGCCGUCUGCCAGCGCUCCCCUUUUUCCCUCCCCCCCCCCCCCCCACUGCCGCAGCAACAACACGAAGAGCCAAAACUUGGUAUUUUACUAUGUGUUUGAUGCACUUUAUGUGCAUGAUCUCACAUCAACUCCCUGAGAAGGGGAUUGUUGUUGCCUUUCUAAGGUGAGGACCACGAAGCGCAAACAGACUCAGUGACUUCCCCACUCCUCCCGCAGUCUGGGGAGCGGGCAGGCCUGUCCUUAGUUAUUUUUAUCCUGCGCACAGAUCCCUGGUUGCCUCAAACAGGUCUUUGUGACCGCCAAGCAUUAGGACAAUAAAAAUGUUUAAAGGGAAUUGUAUGGCUAUGAGUUUCUGGGUCACUAAUACUCCUCAGAGAAUUUACCUAUUCCUGUAACAUAAAACUAUGAAUUAACAUUUGGGGAAAACGGGAAAAAGGUGUUAGCACUUUCAACUUCCUUCUCUCCGUUUCUUCUCUCCUGGAAUUUUGGUUAAUCCAGAAAAGUUUUAAAGCCCAUUUUUAAAGUAUACAAAUAAAGUUCAAAAUGGUAAUUCUUUUACAUCUCACAGUCGUUAUUUUAUAAGCAAUUAGUUUCACUACUGUUUCCUUUCUC
ensembl:lncRNA